UACAGAGGUGGCAAGCGUUGUUCGGAAUUACUGGGCGUAAAGGGCGAGUAGGUGGCUAUCUAAGUCAGACGUGAAAUCCCCCGGCUUAACCUGGGAACUGCGUCUGAUACUGGACGGCUUGAGUAUGGGAGAGGAAUGUAGAAUUCCAGGUGUAGCGGUGAAAUGCGUAGAUAUCUGGAGGAAUACCGGUGGCGAAGGCGGCAUUCUGGACCAUUACUGACACUGAAUCGCGAAAGCUAGGGGAGCAAACGGG
rnacentral:rRNA from 1 species